UACGUAGGUGGCGAGCGUUAUCCGGAAUUAUUGGGCGUAAAGAGCGCGCAGGUGGUUGAUUAAGUCUGAUGUGAAAGCCCACGGCUUAACCGUGGAGGGUCAUUGGAAACUGGUCAACUUGAGUGCAGAAGAGGGAAGUGGAAUUCCAUGUGUAGCGGUGAAAUGCGUAGAUAUCGGGAGGAACACCGGUGGCGAAGGCGGCUUUCUGGCCAGUUACUGACGCUCAUGCGCGAAAGCUGGGGUAGCGAACCGGAUUAGAUACCCCGGUAGUCCCU
rnacentral:rRNA from 1 species